CUUCCAGGCCCGUGGCCUGACUGGGAAGGAGCUGCGAGGAAGCUCAGGCCGGCCGGGUGGAGGCCCUAGGGAAGGAAGGGCCCAGGGGGCAGAAGAGGAUGCACCCAGGAUGGGGAUGGGCAGCCGAAGGGCAAAGGAGGAGCCCAACAUCCUGGGUUGGAGUUUGGAUGCAGCCCCAGCUGUGUGACCCCGGGGCCAAUCCCAAUCCAUCUCUGAACCCCACCCGCUGCAGAGGGCUUCCCCCCACAACAUCCAAAGAGUGUCUUUGAGGGGCUGGAGCAGAAACAUUGCCUCUCAGAUCCAAGACCCUGUUUGGGGUGGCACAAGCCUUCUGAGGAAAUGCAGGCACAGAGGAAGACAUUCAUUCUUUCAAAAUCAUUUGUUCAACCAAUGCAGCGGCCUACUACGAGUGUGACAUAGUUCUAGGUGCUGGAGUUCAGCGGGAGCCAGAGCCCCCCCGGGGCCGCAGGAGAGGGCCCGGGCGGGGCGGACGAUGAGGGCCCAGUGAGGCGCCAAGGGAAGGUCACCGUCAAGUAUGACCGCAAGGAGCUACGGAAGCGCCUCAACCUAGAGGAGUGGAUCCUGGAGCAGCUCACGCGCCUCUACGACUGCCAGGAAGAGGAGAUCCCAGAACUGGAGAUUGACGUGGAUGAGCUCCUGGACAUGGAGAGUGACGAUGCCCGGGCUGCCAGGGUCAAGGAGCUGCUGGUUGACUGUUACAAACCCACAGAGGCCUUCAUUUCUGGCCUGCUGGACAAGAUCCGGGGCAUGCAGAAGCUGAGCACACCCCAGAAGAAGUGACGGUCCCCGACCCAGGAGAACGGUGGCUCCCACAGGACAAUCGCUGCCCCCCAACCUCGUAGCAACAGCAAUACCGGGGGACCCUGCGGCCAGGCCUGGUGCCAUGAGCAGGGCUCCUCGUGCCCCUGGCCCAGGGGUCUCUUCCCCUGCCCCCUCAGUUUUCCACUUUUGGGGUUUUUUAUUGUUAUUAAACUGAUGGGACUUUUUGUGUUUUUAUAUUGACUCUGCGGCGCGGGCCCUUUAAUAAAGCUAGGAUACGCCUUUGGUGCAGCUAACAGGCUCGGCUGGUCUCUUUUAGGGGGGCACACUGCUCUUUGACUUCUGCCAGCUCAGCUUCUCCCCAGGUGACCACAGGCCUUCCUAAGGGCCACGUAGCCAUGACGAUAGCCCAGUGCUGGCUCCCAGACCAGGAGUUGAAAGUGGCUGGGGAGCUGUGGGGGUGGGGGGAGCAGUAUUGCUGUUGGCAGGCAGGAACACUCCUUUCUCUCUGGGCAAGGGCCACCAUGUCAUUGAGCCUAGACCCCCAAGGCUCCACAGUCGGGAAAGGAGAAGGUGGUGGGGUAUGCUGGAGCUGAGGUCUCUGAGUCUCUCAG
rnacentral:lncRNA from 1 species